AACCAACUUCUUCUUGAAGGAUAUUUUUGGUCGCAAUAAGGUAACCUAUCGAUGUGACUUUGCAGAGAAGUUGGCCACUCCAGGUGGAUAUGA